UUUACGAUAGACCACUAGCGAGGUAUAGAGUUCCUACGUGAUUUUAUAUUGUAGGAACUUCAUACCGUGCUCUUGGAUUUGUCGAU
rnacentral:pre_miRNA from 1 species